rnacentral:rRNA from 1 species
AGAACGAACGCUGGCGGCAGGCCUCAAACAUGCAAGUCUAGGGGGUAGCAAUACCACCGGCGGACGGGUGCGUAACGCGUGGGAAUGUACCUAUUGGUUCGGAACAACACAGGGAAACUUGUGCUAAUACCGAAUGUGCCCGUAAGGGGAAAGAUUUAUCGCCAAUGGAUCAGCCCGCGUUCGAUUAGCUAGUUGGUGAGGUAAUGGCUCACCAAGGCGACGAUCGAUAGCUGUUCUGAGAGGAAGAUCAGCCACACUGGGACUGAGACACGGCCCAGACUCCUACGGGAGGCAGCAGUUGGGAAUCUUGGACAAUGGGGGAAACCCUGAUCCAGCCAUGCCGCGUGAGUGAAGAAGGUCUUCGGAUUGUAAAGCCCUUUCGACGGGACGAUGAUGACGGUACCGUAGAAGAGCCCGGCUAACUUCGCGCCAGCAGCCGC